UUUUUAAUUAUUUUUAUUCUAAUUUUUAUUUUCAGCCUUUGAAGAUACCCCAUAUCCAAAAUAAGAAGUUCGAAUUAAUGGGCUGGCUAUAUGUAUGAGCAUAGAUUAUUAAUAUGGCGCUUAAUGUUAUUGAGCGCUCUUGUUCCAUAAAUUGUGAAACUGCAGAGCCGGUGGAUCGUUUUAAAAGUUUACCUAUUGUCAGGAUAUAACAAUUUAUAUAUAUUUAAACAAUACAGUUUUCCUUAUUGAAACAAUGUACUUGUUCCACUUUUAAAGCAUUUUAUAUGAAGUAUCUUGAAAUCAUGAUAGAUAUAAUUGAAUACAUCAGAAAUUUGAUUUUCCCAUCUGAUGUAAACAGAAAGAAGAGACGUUCAAUAUUUGAACAAGGCGAAGUCCCUGUCAAAAUUCGAAGAACUAUGUCUCAACACCCUCAUUUAGAAGGUAAUGUUAAUAAUA